GACGAACGCUGGCGGCGUGCUUAACACAUGCAAGUCGAACGGAAAGGCCCUGCUUUUGUGGGGUGCUCGAGUGGCGAACGGGUGAGUAACACGUGAGUAACCUGCCCUUGACUUUGGGAUAACUUCAGGAAACUGGGGCUAAUACCGCAUAGGAGCUCUUGCUGCAUGGUGGGGGUUGGUAAGUUUCGGCGGUUGGGGAUGGACUCGCGGCUUAUCAGCUUGUUGGUGGGGUAGUGGCUUACCAAGGCUUUGACGGGUAGCCGGCCUGAGAGGGUGACCGGCCAAAUUGGGACUGAGAUACGGCACAGACUCCUACGGGACGCAGCAGUGGGGAAUAUUGCACAAUGGGCGGAAGGCUAAUGCAGCAACGCCGCGUGCGGGAUGACGGCCUUCGUGUUGUAAACCACUUUCGCCUGUGACGAAGCGUGAGUGACGGUAAUGGGUAAAGAAGCACCGGCUAACUACGUG
rnacentral:rRNA from 1 species